UGUUCUUAUCUUAUAUACUACUUUAUUGGCUUGUUUUCUUGAAUACAGCUAAUAUUCAAUAAUUAUAUGACCAUAUAUAAUCAUGGCGUGUAUAUAUAUUAACACCACCUGCGCAGUUAGAACUCACCACCACCAUCAUAUUUUCCCCUGCUUUCCCCCGCUUAUCAUAUACGCUACCGGCGCAAUCACCAGAUUGCUGUGUUAACUGUUCCGGUGACGAUGUCCGAUCAAAACCCUAAACCCUAAAUCAAUUUUCCCGUCGAUCUAUCUAUUGGGAAAUGGGGAGCAUUAAGCGAAUACCUGAGGCUAUUUGGACAAGGGGUUAUCUUGUUGUUGAGGAGUUGGUUUUCAACAGCCUCGAAGCUGGUGCCAACAAGGUAUCUGUUGCUAUAGGCAUUGGGACCUGCUAUGUUAAGGUGGUUGACAGUGGAUCUAGUGUCUCACGAGAUAGACUGGUGCUGAUGGGAGAAAGAUAUGGUAAUCUUAUUGCAAAAUGAUUGCAUGCAUUACCUCAACUGAUAGGCUGUUUGACGCGACAUCAAAAUACAGCCAUUCAGAUGAUAUGCAUGCUUUCCUAGCAAGCUUUGGAUUUAAAGGAGGGGCUCUGAGCUUUAUUUCUGACGUUUCUUUUUGGAAAUUCCAAAACUCAUGGGAGGCCAAAUAGAUAUCGAUGGCAAGUGUUUGUACCUAGGAAUUGAUGACUGUAUAGAAGAUGUUGGUACAACAGUCAGUUUUUCGUCAUGUAUUUUACAACCAACCUUUUUCGAAGGAAGCAAAUGCAUUCCAAGCAUUUCUAGUUUUCUCAAAAUCAAACAAUCCAAAGAGAGUUUUCUUUUAAGAGUUGCCCUUGCGCAUCCCAGUGUCUCAUUCAAAACUGUUUAUAUUGAAAGGUGAGAACGUCGAACUUUGCGCACGUGCUUCUCCUUCUCCUUGCCAUUAUUGACCAGUGGGUUUGGGAUUCAUCCGAGUUCCCUUAACAAAUUGAAUAAAAACAUUGGUGCAUUCAUGCUUUAAGGAUACAUCUCAGGUCCUGAUGUUUACAUAGUGAAG